CGUUAAGAAGCUGCUGAAAUAGCGAUAGCCUUUUAAGCUAUAGAUAGGUGACUAACCCACCCUUAAUGA
rnacentral:tRNA from 1 species